CAGUGUCAGCUGAAAAUGUCCACUGAGCAGACUUCUUGGACAAGCUUGUCCACUAUUCAGAAGAUAGCCCUGGGCCUCGGCAUCCCAGCCAGUGCAGCAGUUGCCUAUAUCCUAUACCGUAGGUAUAGAGAAAGCAGAGAAGAACGGCUGACGUUUGUUGGAGAGGAUGACAUUGAGAUAGAGAUGCGGGUUCCCCAGGAGGCUGUGAAGCUCAUUAUUGGACGGCAAGGAGCCAACAUUAAACAAUUGCGGAAACAGACAGGUGCUCGGAUUGAUGUGGACACAGAGGAUGUAGGCGAUGAGCGAGUGCUGCUUAUCAGUGGUUUUCCUGUUCAGGUGUGCAAGGCCAAAGCAGCCAUCCAUCAGAUCCUGACAGAGAAUACCCCUGUGUCUGAGCAGCUCUCAGUUCCCCAGAGAUCCGUGGGCAGAAUCAUAGGGAGAGGCGGCGAGACAAUUCGUUCUAUCUGUAAGGCCUCAGGAGCAAAAAUUACCUGUGACAAAGAAUCUGAGGGGACAUUACUACUAUCAAGACUUAUAAAAAUCUCAGGAACACAAAAGGAAGUGGCAGCAGCUAAGCAUUUGAUACUGGAGAAAGUUUCAGAGGAUGAAGAACUUCGAAAGAGAAUUGCCCAUUCUGCAGAAACCAGAGUCCCACGCAAGCAGCCAAUCAGUGUGAGAAGAGAAGAAAUGACAGAGGCAGGAGGAGCUGGAGAACCAGCUUCAUGGAAAAACACCAGUUCUAGCAUGGGGCAGACUGCACCUUUGGAGAUUCCUCCCCACAAAGGAGGUGGUGACAUGGCUGUUCUAGGACCCAAAGAAGGUUCCUGGGAAAAACCUAAUGAUGACAGCUUUCAGAAACCUGGAGCCCAAACCAGUCCAGAGAUGUCCAUGUUUGAAAUCCCCAGUCCUGACUUCAGUUUCCAUGCUGAUGAGUACCUAGAAGUCUACGUUUCUGCCUCUGAACACCCUAACCACUUCUGGAUCCAAAUCAUUGGCUCACGUAGCCUGCAAUUGGAUAAGCUUGUCAAUGAGAUGACCCAGCAUUAUGAGAAUAGCCUGCCUGAAGACUUGACUGUGCAUGUAGGAGAUAUUGUAGCUGCACCUUUAUCCGCAAAUGAUUCCUGGUAUCGAGCCCGGGUCCUUGGCACGUUGGAGAAUGGAAAUUUAGACCUCUACUUUGUUGACUUUGGAGAUAAUGGAGAUUGCCCACUGAAGGAGCUCAGGGCUCUCAGGAGUGACUUUCUAAGCCUUCCAUUUCAAGCAAUUGAAUGUAGUCUGGCACGGAUUGCCCCCUCAGGUGUACAAUGGGAGGAGGAAGCUUUAGAUGAAUUUGACAGACUAACUUACUGUGCUGAAUGGAAGCCCCUGGUGGCCAAGAUCUCUAGCUACGUCCAGACUGGGAUCUCAACUUGGCCAAAGAUCUACUUAUAUGAUAUCAGCAAUGGGAAGAAACUUGAUAUUGGGCUAGAAUUAGUUCGUAAAGGAUAUGCAAUUGAGCUUCCUGAAGACAUGGAAGAAAACAGAACUGUCCCGGACAUGUUGAAGGACAUGGCCACAGAAACAGAUGUCUCUCUUGCCAGCAUGCUUAGUGAGACCAGAGAGAGCCCGGAAGAGCUACCACAUACCCUGUCCUGCCUCAGCUUAUCAGAAGCUGCCUCUAUGUCUGGUGAUGAUAACCUUAAAGAUGACUACUUACUCUGAAGUCCGUGCUUCAGCUGGAGAGCCAUCUGCUUUGCAAUGAUUUGGUGCCAGGAGAGAGGAAUCUCCAAUAGAGAUCCAUGCAGUCCUUCCUUUGUUACACAGAGUCUGGCUUGGACCAAAUUUAUUUUCUCCUCCCAUUGGACUACCAGAAAGUGUGUGGGGAAGAGGGAGACAAAAACAUCCUCCCUACACUUUACUCCCAACCCCCACCCUGCUGCUGUUAUUUUCAAGGGUCUGAGUCAAGCUAGGUCCCCUCUGCCAGUCAUAAUGUGUAUUAUUGUGGGGCUGUGUCUUUCAAGGCUGGGAAACAGCCAGAGUUUGGGCACUGAAAUGAUGAUUCUGAAGACUGUGACUCACCCUAUCAGGUGACUCUUGUUACAGGAAGUGUUAUGAGUAGUGUUUGAGUCGAAAAGCAAAGGCAAAAAUCAGCAAAAAUGUUGAGCUGCAGGACGUGGAAAGAAUACCACCUCCCAGCCACAAUUUCAGAUAGGUUAUUGGAGACAAGUGUGUGUGUACAUGUACAAACUUUAAUUAAAAUGUAAGUAAAAAAGAGACAGCUCAGGAAAUGCUGUAAAUUGCUAGUAAAGUUUCAAAUCAUUUGGGGGACUGAAUAAAAAUCUCAAAAAUAUUUAAACUAAGUACUCAUUGGCCACCUAAACCUAAAUCUCGUGAGAAUUAUCAACAAGUGUCUUUCCAUACACACAUUUACUUUCUUCCCCCAGAGUCACUUCCAAAUCAGCCAACUCAAGGUUAGGCUAUUUA